CGGUGGAGCAUGUGGUUUAAUUCGAAGCAACGCGAAGAACCUUACCAGGUCUUGACAUCCUCUGACAACCCUAGAGAUAGGGCUUUCCCUUCGGGGACAGAGUGACAGGUGGUGCAUGGUUGUCGUCAGCUCGUGUCGUGAGAUGUUGGGUUAAGUCCCGCAACGAGCGCAACCCUUGAUCUUAGUUGCCAGCAUUUAGUUGGGCACUCUAAGGUGACUGCCGGUGACAAACCGGAGGAAGGUGGGGAUGACGUCAAAUCAUCAUGCCCCUUAUGACCUGGGCUACACACGUGCUACAAUGGACAGAACAAAGGGCUGCGAGACCGCAAGGUUUAGCCAAUCCCAUAAAUCUGUUCUCAGUUCGGAUCGCAGUCUGCAACUCGACUGCGUGAAGCUGGAAUCGCUAGUAAUCGCGGAUCAGCAUGCCGCGGUGAAUACGUUCCCGGGCCUUGUACACACCGCCCGUCACACCACGAGAGUUUGUAACACCCGAAGUCGGUGAGGUAACCUUUAUGGAGCCAGCCGCCGAAGGUGGGACAGAUGAUUGGGGUGAAGUCGUAACAAGGUAGCCGUAUCGGAAGGUGCGGCUGGAUCACCUCCUUUCUA
rnacentral:rRNA from 1 species